GUGAAAACUGUUAGCAAAAAAAGUGAACCGUUUUUAAAAAGAACAUUAAGAGCAUAAAAUGGAAUCUAAUUCAGAACACUUACAGAAUCAGAACUUUGUAUACACCAUGAGUUCUGCUCACACGGAGCUAGAGAAUUGAAAACGGGUCGACAGGGGAGGAGAGACCGACAAAGAAGAGGUUACGAUCUCUGGAGUGAGUUGUUUUUCACAGUGGUGGUGUUUUUUUCUGUGGUAACGUGUCUCUCUCUGAUCUCUGAGCGAGACCACCCCCUUAUUGUUCUCACAUUCAAAAGUAAAAAACACCACCAUUUUAGGACGUUUGGAGAGAAUGUGCAUCUGAAAUAGGGCACAGGAAUGGCACCCUAUUCCCUAUAUAGUGCACUACUUUUGACCAAGGCCCAUAGCACUAUGUAGGGAAUAGGGUGCCAUUUCAUGCACAGCCUGAGUGUCUCUUGAAAAGGAAGAAUGAUUGGUCAGUUGUGGUACACGAGUCUGUAUCAGAUGGCAGGAUAUCUUAUCAGCCAGUUCAGAAAGGGCUUUGGAUACAUUGUUGAUCCAGAUGCCAAGAGGAGAAAGGUGUGCUACUGGAGCUGAUAUUUUCUGAUACUGGAGAAGACAGCUCUCAGCCAUCACCAGUCAUACCUGGAGGAAGCAUAGAUAGCUGCAGAAGGCCAGAUGAAACCUUUCCCAGGGUGAAAGGAACAGAUGGGUCACAGUGGGUAAAGGAGGGGUACAUUACUGUAAACAACGGCAGUUGAAUUCACAUUGAGAAAUACCCCAAUACUGAAAAGCUAUAGGGGGUAGAGGCUAAGUGUCUAAGGCAGUGGUAUUCAAAGGCGAUGAUCGUGACCCCACUAAACAAAAAGUACGGAUUAUUGUAUGAGACCAUAUACAAACGUAUUUGAAAAAUACAAUUGAGUACAUUUAUUUAGUUUUUUUGUAAAUGUAAUGAAUUAAGGAUUAUUUGUUGAUGUACUAAUUUAAGGUUGUCAUUAUUUUUGGGGUGGGUUCAUGAGAAAAUGAACACACAAAAAAUAGGGUCCCUGCUAAAAAAAAGUUUGAAUACCACUGGUCUAAGGGGUUUAUUUGGGACAGGACAACUCCAGCAGACAGGACUGUUACUCUGCUUGUCCCUUUGUGUUGACUGACAGGGCUGCUGUCCAAUCAGCAGGCUCAGAACACCAGCACCUUCCAACCAGGGUGGGCUAAGGAGCAGCCAAAGAACAGGCAGUCCACCCCCUGGUCUAGCAGCCAAUCAAACACCACUUCCCGGUUCCCUGAGCCAAUCGUAACCCUCAGCUUGAAGUUGCCUCCGUCGCUAAGGUUGUUGUUGUUGCUAAUAGGAAGUAGGUUGACCACUUCCAUAUCAAAGGUCACAGCAGAGCCGAGGGUGAUAGAAGGCAGCUGGUUGGUCAUCUCUUUACCGUUGACA
rnacentral:lncRNA from 1 species